rnacentral:rRNA from 1 species
UACGGAGGGUGCAAGCGUUGUCCGGAUUUAUUGGGUUUAAAGGGUGCGUAGGCGGGUCUUUAAGUCAGUGGUGAAAGCCUGCAGCUUAACUGUAGAACUGCCAUUGAUACUGGAGACCUUGAGUGUACUAGAGGUAGGCGGAAUUUAUGGUGUAGCGGUGAAAUGCAUAGAUACCAUAAAGAACACCGAUAGCGUAGGCAGCUUACUGGAGUACAACUGACGCUGAGGCACGAAAGCAUGGGGAGCGAAC